UAAUGUGAAUUGCAGGACACAUUGAACAUCGAUAUCUUGAACGCAUAUUGCGGCCUAGGGUCACUCCCUUGGCCACGCCUGUCUGAGGGUCGGUGAAACAUCUUCGUCAAAUCACUGUUGACGCGCUGGGUCUUCGCAGUUCUCCGAACUUCGUUGCCUGAAAUGUAGACCACGACUCGUCCUCGCCCUCCUCUCGGGCGGGAGACUGCACGUCCUACGACCUCUGGUGUUUAGCUGGGACGCAGCUCGCGUUUGCUUGCGAGUGUGCGCCUGGCUGCCACGUAGGGAGAGCAUGCGGUCUCCGAGAGACGGUCUAAUAAAUGGCUUUCACUAUACUUCCUCAUCCGACCUCAGAUCAGACGAGACUACCCGCUGAAUUUAAGCAUAUCACUAAGCGGAGGAAAAGAAACUAACGAGGAUUCCCUCAGUAACGGCGAGUGAACCGGAAGAGCA
rnacentral:rRNA from 1 species